AUUGAACGCUGGCGGCAUGCCUUACACAUGCAAGUCGAACGGCAGCAUGAUCUAGCUUGCUAGAUUGAUGGCGAGUGGCGAACGGGUGAGUAAUACAUCGGAACGUGCCCUGUAGUGGGGGAUAACUAGUCGAAAGAUUAGCUAAUACCGCAUACGACCUGAGGGUGAAAGUGGGGGACCGCAAGGCCGCAUGCUAUAGGAGUGGCCGAUGUCUGAUUAGCUAGUUGGUGAGGUAAAGGCUCACCAAGGCGACGAUCAGUAGCUGGUCUGAGAGGACGAUCAGCCACACUGGGACUGAGACACGGCCCAGACUCCUACGGGAGGCAGCAGUGGGGAAUUUUGGACAAUGGGCGAAAGCCUGAUCCAGCAAUGCCGCGUGUGUGAAGAAGGCCUUCGGGUUGUAAAGCACUUUUGUCCGGAAAGAAAUGGCUCUGGUUAAUACCUGGGGUCGAUGACGGUACCGGAAGAAUAAGAAACGGCUAACUACGUG
rnacentral:rRNA from 1 species